rnacentral:rRNA from 1 species
GGGGAACUGAAACAUCUAAGUACCCCGAGGAAAAGAAAUCAACCGAGAUUCCCCCAGUAGCGGCGAGCGAACGGGGAGGAGCCCAGAGCCUGAAUCAGCAUGUGUGUUAGUGGAAGCGUCUGGAAAGGCGCGCGAUACAGGGUGACAGCCCCGUACACAAAAGCGCAUGUGCUGUGAGCUCGAUGAGUAGGGCGGGACACGUGGUAUCCUGUCUGAAUAUGGGGGGACCAUCCUCCAAGGCUAAAUACUCCUGA